GAUGAACGCUGGCGGCGUGCCUAAUACAUGCAAGUCGAGCGAACGGACGAGAAGCUUGCUUCUCUGAUGUUAGCGGCGGACGGGUGAGUAACACGUGGAUAACCUACCUAUAAGACUGGGAUAACUUCGGGAAACCGGAGCUAAUACCGGAUAAUAUUUUGAACCGCAUGGUUCAAAAGUGAAAGACGGUCUUGCUGUCACUUAUAGAUGGAUCCGCGCUGCAUUAGCUAGUUGGUAAGGUAACGGCUUACCAAGGCAACGAUGCAUAGCCGACCUGAGAGGGUGACCGGCCACACUGGAACUGAGACACGGUCCAGACUCCUACGGGAGGCAGCAGUAGGGAAUCUUCCGCAAUGGGCGAAAGCCUGACGGAGCAACGCCGCGUGAGUGAUGAAGGUCUUCGGAUCGUAAAACUCUGUUAUUAGGGAAGAACAUAUGUGUAAGUAACUGUGCUCAUCUUGACGGUACCUAAUCAGAAAGCCACGGCUAACUACGUG
rnacentral:rRNA from 1 species